AAAUGUUGCUGUGCUAUGGCAGAUCUAGACCUAACAGUAUAAUCUGGUCUACAAUCAAGUGCAGAGAAAUUUGCUCUGACCCUCAGUGAGCAUCUCUCAG